rnacentral:rRNA from 1 species
AGAGUUUGAUCAUGGCUCAGGACGAACGCUGGCGGCGUGCUUAACACAUGCAAGUCGAACGGAAAGCGCUCUUCGGAGUGACUCGAGUGGCGAACGGGUGAGUAACACGUGGGUGAUCUGCCCUGCACUUUGGGAUAAGCCUGGGAAACUGGGUCUAAUACCGGAUAGGACUACGGCCUGCAUGGGUUGUGGUGGAAAGCUUUUGCGGUGUGGGAUGGGCCCGCGGCCUAUCAGCUUGUUGGUGGGGUGAUGGCCUACCAAGGCGACGACGGGUAGCCGGCCUGAGAGGGUGUCCGGCCACACUGGGACUGAGAUACGGCCCAGACUCCUACGGGAGGCAGCAGUGGGGAAUAUUGCACAAUGGGCGCAAGCCUGAUGCAGCGACGCCGCGUGAGGGAUGACGGCCUUCGGGUUGUAAACCUCUUUCAGCAGGGACGAAGCGCAAGUGACGGUACCUGUAGAAGAAGCACCGGCCAACUACGUGCCAGCAGCCGCGGUAAUACGUAGGGUGCGAGCGUUGUCCGGAAUUACUGGGCGUAAAGAGCUCGUAGGUGGUUUGUCGCGUUGUCCGUGAAAACUCACAACUCAAUUGUGGGCGUGCGGGCGAUACGGGCAGACUGGAGUACUGCAGGGGAGACUGGAAUUCCUGGUGUAGCGGUGGAAUGCGCAGAUAUCAGGAGGAACACCGGUGGCGAAGGCGGGUUCUGGGCAGUAACUGACGCUGAGGAGCGAAAGCGUGGGGAGCGAACAGGAUUAGAUACCCUAGUAGUCC